rnacentral:lncRNA from 1 species
CCGGAGUUUUGUUUUCAAAUCAAAGUUUGUAACUUUAUUAUAAAUAUAUGCAGCAAUGUGAGCAGCUAAACUGCUCAGUGCCAGAGCGGUGAAUUGGUGGAGACCUAAAAAACUACAAAAUUCAAACCAGUCUGCAGUUGAGCCCCACUGAGGAGCAAAAUCCAUGUCCAGAGCUAUUAAAAAUAAAAAUAAAAAUUAGACAGCCAACUCUACACCGACAACAAAUUAAUAAACUCAAAAUAAACAUAUCAGGAGGCAUUUCAUGCGUUUCUUGUCCACAAAAACAUAUAUAUAUAUAUAUAUAUUAAGUACCUGAAAUUGAUAUAAAUCCAUGGCCUCGAGCUGGGUCUCUCUCCGCCAUCCUCUGUUUUCUUUCUGAUUCACCCAUGGCAAAUUGGCAAUGGCAUUGCGAGUUGCGACACUCUGCCUUCUGUGAAUCGCUCUCGUGCUUUGCUUCUUCUAGUAAGUAAUUAUUAAUUCUCAGCCUCUAGCGAACCCGAAUUUCCAUAUCAUAUCAAAGGCAGGCACUGUUUGCUUUAACGGCGCGAAAAGUGAAAGUCUGGUUUUGGGUCUUUGCCACCAGAAGCAUUGACGACCGCGCCAAAUGGGAAGCAAAUUCCAA